UUUUAAGGGAAUUUGAAAAAAAAAAACUAGGAAUUACAUAUGUUUAAGAACUUUUAUUAUCAUUUAUAUAUAUUUUUGCCUUCCAUCUUGAACCUUUUGCGAAUAUUUCUAUACUAUUUAUGAAAUAAUUUCUUUCAAUUCCUCUAUUUUUCAAAAAUGCUGUUUUGAACCUUAUUUUUUAAUCUACGUGAAGUUUAUACAUAAUUUUAGUUAAAUACAUAGUUUCAUCGCACCCUAUCGAUACGUACUUUGACAAUGUGUUGUUGAUUUUUACCUAGUACAAACAAUUAUUCACGUCUACUUUUGCUUUCAAAAAUCGUUCUUCCACAGAUGGUGCAAUUGUGCAAGUUUCAACAGGUCUAAACAAAAAAUAAUAUUUCUCACCGUCACUUAAAAUUGUAUGAAUAUUUCAAAUUCCUCUUCAAUACUAAAAAAACAAUCAUUAUUCGGUCUUUUUUCAUUUCGUUUUCCUGACCAAGUUGACUUAAAGAACGGUUUGAAAAUAAAGUUAUUAAACUUCAAUCUGGACAAAACAAAAAAUUCUCUAACGUUGUUAUAUUUGUUAAUCACGGAUUCGUCAAUAACAAAUUUUUGAGUUGUAGUUCUAGUAUCAAUGGAAUUGAUCAAGUUCACCUUUUUGCAUUAAGAACGAGCAGGACAGACUCUUUGUUUACACUUCGGCUUUGACCCUUUUACAUUGUUUUGCUUGAAUUUUCUGAGUACAAUAACCCUUUGUACGACUACAAAGAGUUUUGAAUGGAUUUUUAAAUCAAUUUUGAAAAAUUAACCUCGCGGUCCUUCUUGACAGAAAAGGCCCUACUUGACAGCUCGUUCGAAGGGGACCAAAGUUGAUCCAUCGAAAAAAUGUUGUCUUGUCAAAUUUUUUUUUGCAUUAAAAUGAAAAAAAGUGAUCAGAAAUGGUUUUUGAUCGUGUUUUUUAACGUUGUCGAUAAAAAUUGACAUAGGGCUUUAGCACCCAAUUAAAAAAAAUUAAAAUAUAAAUAUAUGGAGCCUAAUAUUUCAAAAGGGCAAUAUUAUUAUAGUUUACAUAAGGUGUGAAAGGGACACACUCUUGUCUAAAAAAGUUAUGUGCCCUAAUGAAAUGGCAAGCACGAUAUAUAAAUUUCUGAAUUAUUUCAUUUUCCAUACGUAAUGUGUGAAUGGCCCCGCGCGCAGAAACGUCAAAACAAACGCGAUGCGCGAUGUGCAAGUAAAAAGAAAAGCGCUUGCAAGUAAAAGGGUUGCGCUUGGUCGAAGGAGCUACACAAUUUUGAAAACUUGCCCAAAAUUAAACCUGGGUCAUCAUUUGACGAAAGCGAUGCUGCUAUUUCAAACUGAGGAAAAGAUUACUUUUGCAGACCAAAUCGAUUUUAAUUGGUUUGAUUCAACUUCAGUGCAUAACGGAUUAGGGCAAUAGAUCGAUCGAAUUGAACUUCCAUUCGGCCAAAACCACGAUCCAGACCUUUCUGAAAUGAUCAAGCCAACUUUAACAGGGAACCUGGAAACAGAAUCGCGUGGAUUUCUUCGGAGAAAGUGGAGCAUUUCGCAUCAUGUUUUUGUUUGUAUGAUAACAAGUUGUAUUCUGGAGCAACAUUUGAAAGGGACGGUACGAAAUUGCUCUUACGGCCUUCUUCCCAUUUCAACACAUGAAAAGAAAGGCCGUAAGAGCGAUGUCGUACUGCUCCCUUCAAAUGUUGCAUGUUUAUUUAUUACCAUUUUUUUUUUCAUUUAGUUUGUUUUCUUUUUUUCAGGUUGAACUCAAGAACAACAAGAUCACCAGAUGAACUCUCGGUUAUCCGACGUUGCACGACUGCGCCGUUUUCCUUCAGAACAAUCUUCAGAACCGGCUGAUGAAGUAACCUCUGGGACCCCUCCAUCCGACCAACAAUUUCCAAAGAAUGACGGAGAUGGAGCUGAUCGUGGUGUACAGCUUUGGUCAACUCUACCACAGCGGAUAC